rnacentral:rRNA from 1 species
AUUGAACGCUGGCGGCAGGCUUAACACAUGCAAGUCGAGCGAGCGGCGGACGGGUGAGUAAUGUCUGGGAAACUGCCUGAUGGAGGGGGAUCACUACUGGAAACGGUCGCUAAUACCGCAUACCCUCCGUUGAGCCCAGAUGGGAUUAGCUAGUGGGUGGGGUAAUGGCUCACCUAGGCGACGACCCCUAGCUGGUCUGAGAGGAUGACCAGCAAAACUGGAAUUGAGACACGGCCCAGACCCUUAGGGGAGGCAGAGUGGGGGAAUAUGCCACAUUGGGGGAAAGCCUGAUGCAGCCAGGCCGCGGGUGUGAAGAAGGCCUUCGGGUUGUAAAGCACUUUCAGCGAGGAGGCGUUACUCGCAGAGGAAGCACCGGCUAACUCCGUGCCAGCAGCCGCGGUAAUAC